rnacentral:rRNA from 1 species
AUUGAACGCUGGCGGCAGGCUUAACACAUGCAAGUCGAGCGGAGAUGAGGUGCUUGCACCUUAUCUUAGCGGCGGACGGGUGAGUAAUGCUUAGGAAUCUGCCUAUUAGUGGGGGACAACAUUCCGAAAGGAAUGCUAAUACCGCAUACGUCCUACGGGAGAAAGCAGGGGAUCUUCGGACCUUGCGCUAAUAGAUGAGCCUAAGUCGGAUUAGCUAGUUGGUGGGGUAAAGGCCUACCAAGGCGACGAUCUGUAGGGGGUCUGGGAGGAUGAUCCGCCACACUGGGACUGAGACACGGCCCAGACUCCUACGGGAGGCAGCAGUGGGGAAUAUUGGACAAUGGGGGGAACCCUGAUCCAGCCAUGCCGCGUGUGCGAAGAAGGCCUUUUGGUUGUAAAGCACUUUAAGCGAGGAGGAGGCUACCUGGAUUAAUACUCUAGGAUAGUGGACGUUACUCGCAGAAUAAGCACCGGCUAACUCUGUGCCAGCCGCCGCGGUAACAC